rnacentral:rRNA from 1 species
AGAGUUUGAUCCUGGCUCAGAUUGAACGCUGGCGGCAUGCUUUACACAUGCAAGUCGGACGGCAGCACAGAGAAGCUUGCUUCUUGGGUGGCGAGUGGCGAACGGGUGAGUAAUAUAUCGGAACGUACCGAGUAAUGGGGGAUAACUAAUCGAAAGAUUAGCUAAUACCGCAUAUUCUCUGAGGAGGAAAGCAGGGGACCUUCGGGCCUUGCGUUAUUCGAGCGGCCGAUAUCUGAUUAGCUAGUUGGUGGGGUAAAGGCCUACCAAGGCGACGAUCAGUAGCGGGUCUGAGAGGAUGAUCCGCCACACUGGGACUGAGACACGGCCCAGACUCCUACGGGAGGCAGCAGUGGGGAAUUUUGGACAAUGGGGGCAACCCUGAUCCAGCCAUGCCGCGUGUCUGAAGAAGGCCUUCGGGUUGUAAAGGACUUUUGUUAGGGAAGAAAAGGGAAGUGCUAAUACCACUUUUUGCUGACGGUACCUAAAGAAUAAGCACCGGCUAACUACGUGCCAGCAGCCGCGGUAAUACGUAGGGUGCGAGCGCUAAUCGGAAUUACUGGGCGUAAAGCGAGCGCAGACGGUUACUUAAGCAGGAUGUGAAAUCCCCGGGCUCAACCUGGGAACUGCGUUCUGAACUGGGUAGCUAGAGUAUGUCAGAGGGGGGUAGAAUUCCACGUGUAGCAGUGAAAUGCGUAGAGAUGUGGAGGAAUACCGAUGGCGAAGGCAGCCUCCUGGGAUAACACUGACGUUCAUGCUCGAAAGCGUGGGUAGCAAACAAGAUUAGAUACCCUGGUAGUCCACGCCCUAA